rnacentral:rRNA from 1 species
AACGAACGCUGGCGGCGUGGAUAAGACAUGCAAGUCGAACGCUAAUUUCGGGGUAGCAAUAUUCCGGAGUUGGAGUGGCGAAAGGGUGCGUAACAUGUGGGUAAUCUGCCGUGAAGUUUGGGAUAACUUGCUGAAAGGCGAGCUAAUACCGGAUGUAAUCGCUGGGAGGUAUCUUUUGGCGAUUAAAGUUGGGGACCGCAAGGCCUGACGCUUCAUGAUGAGCCCGCAUCCUAUCAGCUAGUUGGUGAGGUAACGGCUCACCAAGGCUAAGGGACGGUAGCUGGUCUGAGAGGACGACCAGCCACACUGGAACUGAGACACGGUCCAGACACCUACGGGUGCAGCAGUCGAGUAAUUUUUCACAAUGGGCGAAAGCCUGAUGGAGCGACGCCGCGU